rnacentral:rRNA from 1 species
AGAGUGAACGCUGGCGGUAGGCCUAACACAUGCAAGUCGAACGGCAGCACGGUAAGAGCUUGCUCUUAUGGGUGGCGAGUGGCGGACGGGUGAGGAAUACAUCGGAAUCUACCUUUUGGUGGGGGAUAACGUAGGGAAACUUACGCUAAUACCGCAUACGCCCUUCGGGGGAAAGCCGGGGACCAGCUAUGGCCUGGCGCUGAUAGAUGAGCCGAUGUCGGAUUAGCUAGUUGGUGAGGUAAUGGCUC